rnacentral:rRNA from 1 species
CGAAUCGCCCUUCGGGGUGCAGCAGGCGCGAAACCUUAGCAAUGUGCGAAAGCACGACUGGGUCAGUCCGAGUGAUUCCUGAUAAAGGAGUCUUUUGCUUGUCCUAAAAGCACAGGUGAAUAAGGGGUGGGCAAGUCUGGUGUCAGCCGCCGCGGUAAUACCAGCACCUCGAGUGGUCAGGACGUUUAUUGGGCCUAAAGCAUCCGUAGCCGGCUCUGCAAGUCUUCGGUUAAAUCCACCUGCUCAACAGAUGGGCUGCUGGAGAUACUACAGAGCUAGGGAGUGGGAGAGGCAGACGGUAUUCAGUGGGUAGGGGUAAAAUCCUCUGAUCCAUUGAGGACCACCAGUGGCGAAGGCGGUCUGCCAGAACACGUUCGACGGUGAGGGAUGAAAGCUGGGGGAGCAAACCGGAUUAGAUACCCGGGUAGUCCCAGCUGUAAACGAUGCAAACUCGGUGAUGCAUUGGCUUAUGGCCAAUGCAGUGCCGCAGGGAAGCCGUUAAGUUUGCCGCCUGGGAAGUACGGACGCAAGUCUGAAACUUAAAGGAAUUGGCGGGGGAGCAC